CAGCUUACAGAUUCAUAAUAGCCCCGAGGAAAGCUAAACAUCAAGAAAUUAGCCAGAAUAAAGUGCAUUUUCAGGCUUUUCUUUGAUUAAAACGGAAGAAUGCAGAGUAUAGGGCGGCGGGACCUGGACAAAAUCUACUCAGUGAUUUUGUUGGGGAUCGUGGUGUUGUCCUGGGCCUAUGUGAUCUACGCCAGUCGAAUCGCGGCUCAGUGGCUCCUGGAGGAAAGAGCCGCUAAGGCGUGAAUCUAAAGUUAAAAACAGGGACAAUAACAUGAACUUGAACAUUUUAAAAUGGACCAAACGUAGAAACAAACCCAAAGACUAAAGACG